rnacentral:rRNA from 1 species
AACGAACGCUGGCGGCAUGCCUAACACAUGCAAGUCGAACGAGACCUUCGGGUCUAGUGGCGCACGGGGGCGUAACGCGUGGGAACCUGCCCUUAGGUUCGGAAUAACUCCCCGAAAGGGGUGCUAAUACCGGGUAAUUUCUGCGGACCAAACAUUUAUCGACUUUGGUUGGGCCCGCGUUGGAUUAGCUAGUUGGUAGGGUAAAAGCCUACGAAGGCGACGAUCCAUAGCUGGGAUGAGAGGAUGAGCAGCCACACUGGGAGUGAGACACGGCCCAGACUCCUACGGGAGGCAGCAGUGGGGAAUAUUGGAAAAUGGGCGAAAGCAUGAUCCAGCAAUGCCGGGUGAGUGAUGAAGGUCUUAGGGUUGUAAAGCUCUUUUAACCGGGAUGAUAAUGACAGUACCGGGAGAAUAAGCUCCGGCUAACUCCGUG